GCUGGGCGCGGUGGUGCAUGUCUGCACUCCCAGCUACUCGGGAGACUGAGGUUGGAGGAUCGUUUGAUCCCAGGAGUUGUGGGCUGCAGUGCGCUGGGCUGAUCAGGUGUCCGAACUAAGUUUGGCAUCAAUACACAGUGACCUCCCGAGAGCAGGAGACCACCGAGUUGCCUAAGGAGGGGUGAACUGGCCAAGGUCGGAAAUGGAGCAAGUCAAAACUCCCGUGCUGAUCAGCAGUGGGAUCACGCCUGUGAACAGCCACUGUGCUCCAGCCUGGGCAACACAGCAAGACCCUGCCUCAA
rnacentral:SRP_RNA from 1 species